UGGGGGAAGACGGCGCUGCCAGAGAAGCCCGACGGUCUGAUCAACAUGAUCAAAGACAUGAAGAAGGUCAGCGGCUUUGACAGCAGCAGAUCACAGAGGAGCUCGCCCAUCGUGGUGCACUGCAGCGAUGGCUCGAGCCAGUCUGGAGUUUUCUGUGCUCUGUGGAACCUGCUGGACAGUGCCAAGAUGGAGAAAAUGCUGGAUGUUUUCCAGGUGGCCAAAGCUCUGCGUAAGGAGAGCAAGGCAUGAUCAGCUCACUGGAUCAGUACCAGUUCUUGUAUGACACGCUGCAGGCGGCCUUCCCAGUCCAGAAUGGGGACCUGAAAGCAGUGUCUGCCUCUCAACCUGACUCCAUCCAGAUUGUCAGUGAAACCAAAA